AGUCAAGAAGAAGGAGCUUACAUCCCCACCAUCAACACCCAAAGCUGAUAUUCUAACUAAACUACU
rnacentral:tRNA from 1 species